rnacentral:lncRNA from 1 species
AGGAUUCGCUCUGCAGGUUCCAAUUUUCUCAUUGCCGGAUUUUCUUUUUGACAGAGUUGCCAGAUAUAUUCUCUUCAGGUUUAAGCCUGACCCAGAUGCGAUGCCAACAAUUCUGACGCCCAAUUUGCCUGACCCUGAGAAUGCUCAGGAAGUGGGAUGCCUCCGGAGGCAGCAGGCAUCAGUGGACGAUGGAAAGGGCUCAGAGCCUCAGAUGCUGAUCGAUAUGAUUCCCAUGGAAUGGUCAGAAGGGUAUCUCUGGUCGUCCCCGGGCCUGCUGAUAUCAGUGGACAUAGAAGGGGCUCAGAUGCUGAUUGUAAUUCCCAUGGAUCGUGCGAAGAGCAUCCUUGGUCCUCGGCCUGCAGAUAGACUGGAGAUUGUUUCCGUCGCCCUUGGUCCGUCUGUCACGCGGUUAGCGUUUGGAGGCCCAUCAGACGUUCAGACGAUCAUUGCAUGCGCGGGCUCCUCUACGCCGAGGGUUUUGGAUGUCUUUGGUGGUGUAGAAUCGGCGAGUUGCACUGAUGCGUUUCUGCUACGUACUGGUUUUCUGAUGCUCAAAAGCACCGCUUGCGGCAAAUGUGAUUUUUGCAUUAUAAUCAGAGAAAGGAGAGAUGUAUGUACGCUUCGGUUUCACUGGUUGGAUGAUACAUGCGGCUGA